UGCUGGGAUUACAGACAUGAGCCACCACGCCUGGCCGCUCUGUACACAUUUAAUAAAAUGUCCUUCCUUCGUUGUUCCUACCUGUGACUAAUUCUGCUUCUGACUUUCAGACCUUUUUAACUCUAUCAUUACAAGAUAUGGCAAGUCGUGUGCAGUUGUCUGGACCUCAGGAGGCAGAGAAAUACGUUCUGCACAUGAUAGAAGAUGGUGAGAUUUUUGCAAGUAUUAACCAGAAGGACGGUAUGGUCAGUUUCCAUGAUAACCCUGAAAAAUAUAAUAACCCAGCCA
rnacentral:lncRNA from 10 species